CAGGUCUGAAUGAGUCUCUCUACCUGAUGUCCCCAGGUCUGAAUGAGUCUCUCUACCUGAUGUCCCCAGGUCUGAAUGAGUCUCUCUACCUGAUGUCCCCAGGUCUGAAUGAGUCUCUCUACCUGAUGUCCCCAGGUCUGAAUGAGUCUCUCUACCUGAUGUCCCCAGGUCUGAAUGAGUCUCUCUACCUGAUGUCCCCAGGUCUGAAUGAGUCUCUCUACCUGAUGUCCCCAGGUCUGAAUGAGUCUCAACCUGUUGUCCCCAGAUCUGAACGAGUCUCGGGUCUGAACGAGUCUCGGAUUACAGGUAGAGGAUGAGAACCAGUAGUGUUUCGUCCCUCCAGGACCAGAAAGAAAUAGCCCUUGGCUAGAUUCAAUCUGAUCCGCAGAAGAUCCGGGUUAUAGUUCACCUUUAAAAAAAACCAAAAAGGUAAUUUACGAUUGAGCCUACUGUUAACGUGGAAACUUUACCUUUUAAUAAGGUGCACAGCCGAAAAGAGGAGAUCGGAUUUGAAUCUAGGAACAGCUUCCUCCCUCCCUCCAGUCCUAACGAGGGGUGAGAGAUAUAUAUAUAUAUGGGUCCCGUGUGGCUCAGUUGGUAGAGCAUGGGUGUUUGCAACGCCAGGGUUGUGGGUUCGAUUCCCACGGGGGACCAAUACGUGGGGGGGGGGGGAAAUGUCUGAAAUGUAUGCAUUCACUACUGUAAGUCGCUCUGGAUAAGAGCGUCUGCUAAAAUAACUAAAAUGUAAAUGUUAAUAACUGAUCUAGGAUCAGUUUCCUCCCUCCAGUCCUAACAGGUCACCAUUAGAGAGGUGAUAUAUAUAACUGAUCUAGGAUCAGUCCUAACAGGUCACCAUUAGAGAGGUGAUAUAUAUAUAUAACUGAUCUAGGAUCAGUCCUAACAGGUCACCAUUAGAGAGGUGAUAUAUAUAUAUAACUGAUCUAGGAUCAGUCCUAACAGGUCACCAUUAGAGAGGUGAUAUAUAUAUAUAUAUAUAUAUAUAUAACUGAACUAGGACCAGUGUUAAACAGAGCUGAAUGUCUGUCUGGUUCAUACCAUUUAUGAUGCUGAUGUAUUGUUAUUAUAAUGACAUUAAAUUAUUGAAUGUUUCUGUC